GUGCUUGCUGCAGCCGCACAGAAACUAAAAUUGAAACGAUACAGAGAAGAUUAGCAUAGCCCCUGCACAAGGAUGGCACACAAAUUCGUGAAGCGUUGCAUAUUUUU